AGCGAACGUUUGCGGCGGGCCUAACACAUGCAAGUCGAACGGGCAGUCCCUUCGGGGGCUGUCAGUGGCGCACGGGUGCGUAACACGUAGGUAAUCAACCCUCGGGUUCGGGAUAACACUUCGAAAGGGUGCUAAUACCGGAUGCGACGAGCGUCUCCUCGGAGAUGCACGGGAAAGAUCCGCAAGGGUCGCCCGAGGACGAGCCUGCGGCCCAUCAGCUUGUUGGUGAGGUAAUGGCUCACCAAGGCUAAGACGGGUGGCUGGUCUGAGAGGAUGAUCAGUCACACUGGAACUGAGACACGGUCCAGACUCCUACGGGAGGCAGCAGUGGGGAAUAUUGCGCAAUGGGCGAAAGCCUGACGCAGCCACGCCGCGUGAGCGAUGAAGGCC
rnacentral:rRNA from 1 species